AGAGUUUGAUCCUGGCUCAGAUUGAACGCUGGCGGCAUGCCUAACACAUGCAAGUCGAACGCGAAAGCGCCUUCGGGCGUGAGUAGAGUGGCGGACGGGUGAGUAACGCGUGGGAAUCUACCCUGCAGUGGGGGACAACCCGGGGAAACCCGGGUUAAUAUUGUAUAUGUUUUAUGGGAGAAAGGGGGUUUUGGCUCUCGCUGCAGGAUGAGCCCGCGUCCGAUUAGCUUGUUGGUGGGGUAAUGGCCCACCAAGGCGACGAUCGGUAGCUGGUUUGAGAGGAUGAUCAGCCACACUGGGAUUGAGAUAUGGCCCAGACUCUUAUGGGAGGCAGCAGUGGGGAAUAUUGGAUAAUGGGCGAAAGCCUGAUCCAGCAAUGCCGCGUGUGUGAAGAAGGCCUGUGGGUUGUAAAGCACUUUCAGUGGGGAAGAAAUGUUUGAGGUUAAUAUUUUUGGAUUUUGAUGUUACCCACAGAAGAAGCACCGGUUAACUCCGUGCCAGUAGUUGUGGUAAUACGGAGGGUGCAAGCGUUAAUCGGAAUUACUGGGCGUAAAGAGCACGUAGGCGGCUGAGUAAGUUAGAUGUGAAAGUUUUGGGUUUAAUUUGGGAACUGCAUUUGAUAUUGCUCAGCUUGAGUCUGGUAGAGGGGGGUGGAAUUUUAGGUGUAGUGGUGAAAUGUGUAGAUAUUUGGAGGAAUAUUAGUGGUGAAGGUGGCCCCCUGGACCAAGACUGACGCUGAGGUGCGUAAGCGUGGGGAGCAAAUAGGAUUAGAUAUUUUGGUAGUUUACGUUGUAAACGAUGUCGACUAGCCGUUGGGCUCAUUUAAGGGUUUAGUGGCGUAGUUAAUGUGAUAAGUCGACCGCCUGGGGAGUACGGCCGCAAGGUUAAAACUCAAAGGAAUUGACGGGGGCCCGUAUAAGCGGUGGAGCAUGUGGUUUAAUUCGAUGCAACGCGAAGAACCUUACCAGCCCUUGACAUCCUCGGAACUUGGCAGAGAUGCCUUGGUGCCUUCGGGAGCCGAGAGACAGGUGCUGCAUGGCUGUCGUCAGCUCGUGUCGUGAGAUGUUGGGUUAAGUUUCGUAACGAGCGCAACCCUUGUCCUUAGUUGCCAGCGGUUCGGCCGGGAACUCUAAGGAGACUGCCGGUGAUAAACCGGAGGAAGGUGGGGAUGACGUCAAGUCAUCAUGGCCCUUAUGGGCUGGGCUACACACGUGCUACAAUGGUCGGUACAGAGGGUUGCGAAGCAGCGAUGUGGAGCUAAUCCCAGAAAACCGAUCGUAGUCCGGAUUGCAGUCUGCAACUCGACUGCAUGAAGUCGGAAUCGCUAGUAAUCGCGAAUCAGAAUGUUGCGGUGAAUACGUUCCCGGGCCUUGUACACACCGCCCGUCACACCAUGGGAGUUGGUUGCGCCAGAAGUAGAUAGCUUAACCUUCGGGAGGGCGUUUACCACGGUGUGGUCAAUGACUGGGGUGAAGUCGUAACAAGGUA
rnacentral:rRNA from 1 species